rnacentral:lncRNA from 1 species
AAUUUACUUAAAAACUCUAAACUGUAGUUUAUCUAUACUCUUUUGUACUUAAAAAAAUUUAAACUAUUUUUACUAAAACCUAGUUAACUAUUUAAUAAUUCAAUUUAAAUAUACUAAACUUAUUUUAUUUCUUUUUAAUACAGUUAAUUGUAUUGUAUUGUGGUUUAGGUUUCUGCCAUCGAAAUUUUCUCCUUGUCUCAUUACAUUCCUUUAUCAGUAUCGUUGCCGUAGAAAAUAGAUAAAAUAUAUUUUUAUUUACUUAUAUUAAGAUAAUUUAUUAUGAUUUUGUUUCUUUGGGUUAAAAAGUGUUGGAUGGGUUAAAAAGUGUUGGAGUAGAAAAUAAAAUUAUUUAUGAUUGUUUUAAUUAAUCUGUAAAAUGUGUGAUAUAUAUUAAAUAUUUGUAUUGGUAUAAUAGAUCAGUGAAAUUAAAUUGGCUUAGUGGUGUUGUUCUGAGUCUUUUUCUGUGUGGGGCCCACUUAGUGGGAAGAGAGAGAAAGGNAUUAAUGGCCAAAAGAGUUGACAUUAAAUGAAGGAAGAGAAUUGGAGAAGAAAGGCUACAUAUUUGCAUGCAAAAAGAGGAAAGAGAAAAGUGGAGGUAAGGGAGUAGAGAAAAUAUACUUUGACACGNGGUGGACCCCAUUUUUUCUGAAUGUCAUUAAGGGUAAGUUUGGAAUUUUGCACAAUGAGAGUAGCGACCAAGCCUUUGUAUUUGGUCUCGCAGAAACCCUAUUUCUCCCACGCG